rnacentral:lncRNA from 1 species
AGGUUAAUGCAUGGCUACAUAAGAGAGGGCUCUCUUACAGUUGGACUGGAACAGCUUGGUAUUUAUAUCUACAGAUGCAUCGGAAGCAUAACACUGAGCCGUGAGCAAGAUGAAAAUGUACAGACUCAUUCUUACAACAUAUACCAUCAGAAGUGUAAAACUGUGUGGUCUAAACGGAUUUGAAGUCAGAAACUUGCACUGCCAAAACAACACUGUGUCUUAUCAGCUCUGCCUCAACUUGCAAAUCACGUAA